AGAGAGAGAGAGAGAGAGAGAGAGAGAGAGGACUGUGGCUAUGACGACGGUUUGCUUAUUUGGGGAGGACGAGCCGGAAUUGGGAAGUGAGGAGGUCUCUGAAGGACGGCGUCCGGCUUGUUCGCGUACUAUUCAAUGUCUUCGCCGCCGAGACCGACCGUCUGCUCUGUUAUUUACUCCCUUCGCUGUUUGUGAAUUUUCUGCAGAAACAGUGUCUGGACAUGGUCAUCUCACACUUGCAGAUGCCAUAACUAGCAUCAUAUAAUAUUCCAGAGAGGGGGGAGGAGAGAGAGAGGUGUUGAGCUUGGGAACGCGACGGCCUGGCCUUGCAAAGUGCGUAUUGCAAAGUGCAAUGACUCGCGUACUUAUUUUAGUUUAACCUUGUAUAUAUUAGGUCUUGGGUAGUUUUGAUGCAGAAUGAAAUUUGACCCCUCUCUCUCUCUCUCUCUCUCUCUCUCUCUGUGCAACUACGAGAUCACCCAGCCUGUAACUGUAAUGACUAGUGGACGAGGGCUCCCGGUUAGGUCCGAAAGGUGAAAAAGGGCAGCGAUGGCGAGUCAUGACGGACGAAAAGCACAGAGAAAUGGGAUGUGAAUUCAACGGCGCGUGAAGGUCACCAGCCCGCUAAAUCGCGAUCGUUGGUUUUUCAUCAGCUUUGGGUCAACGUAAGGGAUUCGGGGGCCAGAUUCCUGGCAUCAGCAGUUGACCAAGAGAUGGACUGCUCCUAAAAGUUCAGGAUUAUCGAACCCAUUAUUUUCUUUCAUUCGGGAGUCAACCAUCCCCCCUCCGGUGGAUUUUUUCCCGCAUUUAAACGUGGAUGAUAGAUCUUUAGGAGAGACGGGUUCCUCUCCCCCCUUCACGCUCUCCUGAUCUUCGCCCCAGCUGGGCCGG
rnacentral:lncRNA from 1 species